rnacentral:lncRNA from 1 species
UGCAAGUUAGUUAAGGAAAUGGAGGAAAACCACUGAGAUUAACUUCCUCAACCUGUUGUGGCUCGAAAUUCUCAUAAAAAUGUUUCAAACGAUGACCAUUGACCUUGAAUGACUUGGUGGUGUCCAUACUCCUUAUCUCUAUAGCACCGUGAGAAAAAAUAUUAGUGACAAUAAAAGGACCAAUCCAUCUAGUUCGUAACUUACCA